rnacentral:rRNA from 1 species
CUGUCUUGUUUAUAAAGAUUGAAUUUGACUUUAAAGUGAAAAGGCUUUAAUGAGAGAAAGGGACGAUAAGACCCUAUAAAACUUUAUAUAAAGUAGAAUAUUUUUUAUAAUUAUUAGUUUAAUAAAAAAUAAUCUAUUAAUAUUUUAUUGGGGCGGUAGGAAUAUAAUAGAUAACUGUUCUUUAAUUAUAACAUGUCUUGUUGAUUAGGAUGAUCCUGUAUAAAGAUUAAAAGGUAAAGUUACUUUAGGGAUAACAGCGUAAUUUUUUUUAAGAGUUCUUAUCGUCAAAAAAGAUUGCGACCUCGAUGUUGAAUUAAAAUUUCUUUAUGGUGCAGCAGCUAUAAAAGAAGGUCUGUUCGACCUUUAAAAUUUUA